GAACGGGGGCGGUUCCAAACCUUUAGUUUCAUUGGCCCCCGAACCAACCGGUUUAUAGCAUACCAGAACAACACAUAGCGUCCACCACUUCUCUUAAGUUUUUUAAAAAUCUCUUUGUCCUUCAAACUUUCUCACAUGCCACAUAAUCUUUGCACUCACCGCCCUCAAAUUUCUCUUGGACCCGACACCCCAAAGAGAUCUUGCAAUCGAAGGGUAUAAACCCAGAUCCCUUUAUUGAUUCUGAAAAGGAAUUGGAGACAGAGGGUAACUCGACCAACGACAGAAGAAACUAUGCGGCAGUACCCAUUGAUUUUGAUUUUGAGUCUAAAAUUGGAAAGGUAUAAACCCAGAUUCCUUUGUUGAUUUUGAAUUAUUGAUGCCAUGAUGUUGAAUCAACGAUGCCAUUAUUUAUGUGUAUGAAUAAUUUUGGUCUCUAGAAAUUUGCUGUCAUGUGGAAGCCUACGAUAAAGAUUAUGUGUAUUGAAAACAAUGGCAGAGGCAGGUUGAGUUUUGGAAGUUAGAACUUGCGUGAGAAUCAUGGUCAGCACCAUCACUCUUUAGCUGUUGUCUUACCAUUUUGGCCCACAACUUGCAUUUGUUUGCAGUCUCGCCGUUUAAUUCUUAUCAAACUUGUACUAAACCAUUCGGUUCAUCGAAGAAGAAAACUGGUCCAUAACUAUAUAAUAUCGAUGAAGGCAAUUGAACCAAGCGCAAUGAUGAUUAGAAUUAAAUGAAUUGUUAAUUAAAUAAUUGGGAACUUGAUGUGGAGGAUAACAAGGAUUAAAGAUGCCAUGAAACUAGCUGUUAUAAAUGAAUAAAAAGAAUUGUACAAAUGAUUGAUCUGUGUUUAUCUUGAACUUGAGGUAUUCGAUGAAUUGACUGUGUGUAAGAAUUUUAUGCCAUUCAAAAUUAGUUGUUAUGAAAAUAUUUCUCGUAAUGAAAAUAAUGAAUUCAAAGUAAUGAUGCAAAUAUAAAUUGAAAAUAAGUUUUAUUGCAAAUCUUACACUAGGACUUACAAUUAAUUUACUUACGAUUGAGUCAACAAAUAAGAAAAUGACUAAUGAAAAAGAUAUUGGUGCACGCAUGCAUCAUUGACAUUUGAAAAUUAAAAGUGUUUACAAUUUUGAUUUCUUUGGGUAUAGUGUGAACUCAAAGAAAGUUUUUACUGAGAAAUUGUGGAAAUUCCAAACUUGAAACUUUCUUCCUCCGGAGUCAAUUUCUUAUAUACUUGGAAAAAGGUCUUGGAAGAUUUGCUUUUACUAUUGAUGAAUGAUGAUUUGCUUUCACUAUUAAUGCACAAUGAAAUUUGUUGGAAUAAUUGCUGCUUUUACUGUAUAAUAAGGAUGAUUGAAUGACUCCAAACUUUGUUAGAAUCAUUGGUGGGAACAUGGUUGAAUGAAUAAUUCAAUGCUUUGUCGGAAUUAUUGGUAUGAAUAAUGUCUGAACGCUUCACAUGGUGACUUAGGAAAGAUGACUGAAUUUUCACAUGGAAAUUGACUGUGUUCACAUGGCCUUAUGCAAAUGGGUAUUGCGAAUCCUGGUAGUCGACCUACUUGGCUGACUGUGUUUUUUGACUUAUUGACUUGGUUGAUUGCUGUGAGGACGCAUCUGAAGAUUCGGAGUCUGAAGCUUUUUCUUCCAAUGUGGAUCAUCACUGCUUCUACAAGUAAUUGUUGUGCUAAAUUUUUGAGCUAAGUGGCUUUAUUCUUUUUUGAACCUGAUGAUUUGGAAUACUUGACUGUUCAUUUGAGGGAUGAAGAUUGACUAAUAUUCGAUAAUGACUGUUUUGAGAUGACUGGCAGUGAUGGCUGUGCUGGUUGUGCCGGAAUGACCAGAGGUGGAGUAAUGGGUUGGUUGUGCCUGAUUGAUGGCCUUUUGAUGGUUGAAUUUAUACCACCACUUGACUGAUCUGAUUAUGUAGACUUCACCUAUUUCAACUUCAUAAUUCAUGGGACUUUGUACUUGGCCAUAAUAUUGGGAGAAGUGUAUUUCUGUAGUUGAAUCAAUUUCUAUCAAAUUUCUGCUGGAAAUUGGUGGAGAGGACUUGCAUAAGUUCUUUUGGUAGGAGACUGGCUGUUGAGCCGUUAAUUGACCACCAUUUUAGGAACCAUGCAGGAAAAUUCAAUCUGAAACUCUUGUCAAAAUUAAUGAACCAUGAAUGACUAAAAUCUUUUGUCUGAUGA